rnacentral:misc_RNA from 1 species
UAACCCCUCAAGCCUAGCUUGGUGUUGAGGCCUGCUGUUACCGGCAGCCCUUAAAAUCAGUGGCGGUGCCAUCUAGCUCUAAGCGUAGUAAUACUUCUCGCUACAGGGUCCCGGUGGAUGCUUGCUAUCAACCCUUAAUUUUCUAU